rnacentral:rRNA from 1 species
ACGGGUGAGUAACACGUAGGUAACCUGCCUAUGAGACUGGGAUAACUAUCGGAAACGAUAGCUAAGACCGGAUAACUGGUUUUCUCGCAUGAGAGAAUCAUGAAACACGGAGCAAUCUGUGGCUUAUAGAUGGGCCUGCGGCGCAUUAGCUAGUUGGUAGGGUAAUGGCCUACCAAGGCGACGAUGCGUAGCCGACCUGAGAGGGUGACCGGCCACACUGGGACUGAGACACGGCCCAGACUCCUACGGGAGGCAGCAGUAGGGAAUCUUCCGCAAUGGACGCAAGUCUGACGGAGCAACGCCGCGUGAGUGAUGAAGGUUUUCGGAUCGUAAAGCUCUGUUGCCCUAGACGAACAGCAAGGAGAGUAACUGCUCUUUGUGUGACGGUAUAGGAGAAGAAAGCCCCGGCUAACUACGUGCCAGCAGCCGCGGUAAUACGUAGGGGGCAAGCGUUGUCCGGAAUUAUUGGGCGUAAAGCGCGCGCAGGCGGUUAAUUAAGUUGGGUGUUUAAGCCCGGGGCUCAACCCCGGUUUGCAUCCAAAACUGGUUGACUUGAGUGUAGGAGAGGAAAGUGGAAUUCCACGUGUAGC